AUUGAACGUUGGCGGCACGCCUUAUACAUGCAAGUCGAACGAGAAAGCACCUUCGGGUGUGAGUACAGUGGCGGACGGGUGAGUAACGCGUAGGAAUAUGCCCAGUAGUGGGGGACAACUCGGGGAAACUCGAGCUAAUACCGCAUACCCUCUACGGAGGAAAGUGGGGGAUCUUCGGACCUCACGCUAUUGGAGUAGCCUGCGUUGGAUUAGCUUGUUGGUGAGGUAAAGGCUCACCAAGGCGACGAUCUAUAGCUGGUCUGAGAGGACGAUCAGCCACACUGGAACUGAGACACGGUCCAGACUCCUACGGGAGGCAGCAGUAGGGAAUCUUGGUCAAUGGGCGCAAGCCUGAACCAGCGAUGCCGCGUGUGUGAAGAAGGCCCUAGGGUUGUAAAGCACUUUCAGCAGUGAAGAAACGCCGGGAGUUAAUACCUCCACGGUCUUGACGUUAACUGCAGAAGAAGCACCGGCUAACUCCGUG
rnacentral:rRNA from 1 species